rnacentral:rRNA from 1 species
AUUAGAUACCCUGGUAGAUCCAUGCUCCACCGGGAAAAGAGGAGUGGCGAACGGGUGAGUAACACGUGGGUAACCUGCCCAUCAGAAGGGGAUAACACUUGGAAACAGGUGCUAAUACCGUAUAACAAUCGAAACCGCAUGGUUUCGUUUUGAAAGGCGCUUUACGGUGCCGCUGAUGGAUGGACCCGCGGUGCAUUAGCUAGUUGGUGAGGUAACGGCUCACCAAGGCCACGAUGCAUAGCCGACCUGAGAGGGUGAUCGGCCACAUUGGGACUGAGACACGGCCCAAACUCCUACGGGAGGCAGCAGUAGGGAAUCUUCGGCAAUGGACGAAAGUCUGACCGAGCAACGCCGCGUGAGUGAAGAAGGUUUUCGGAUCGUAAAACUCUGUUGUUAGAGAAGAACAAGGGUGAGAGUAACUGUUCACCCCUUGACGGUAUCUAACCAGAAAGCCACGGCUAACUACGUGCCAGCAGCCGCGGUAAUACGUAGGUGGCAAGCGUUGUCCGGAUUUAUUGGGCGUAAAGCGAGCGCAGGCGGUUUCUUAAGUCUGAUGUGAAAGCCCCCGGCUCAACCGGGGAGGGUCAUUGGAAACUGGGAGACUUGAGUGCAGAAGAGGAGAGUGGAAUUCCAUGUGUAGCGGUGAAAUGCGUAGAUAUAUGGAGGAACACCAGUGGCGAAGGCGGCUCUCUGGUCUGUAACUGA